UACGGAGGGUCCAAGCGUUAUCCGGAUUUAUUGGGUUUAAAGGGUCCGUAGGCGGCUCUGUAAGUCAGUGGUGAAAUCGUGUGGCUUAACCAUACAACUGCCAUUGAAACUGCAGAGCUUGAGAUAGAUUGAAGUUGGCGGAAUAUAACAAGUAGCGGUGAAAUGCAUAGAUAUGUUAUAGAACACCAAUUGCGAAGGCAGCUGACUAAGUCUUGUCUGACGCUGAGGGACGAAAGCGUAGGUAGCGAACAGG
rnacentral:rRNA from 1 species